rnacentral:rRNA from 1 species
AAAGUGGAGCAAUCCAUGAGUAGAGUGGCAAACGGGUGAGUAACGCGUGGGUGACCUGCCUUCGAGUGGGGGAUAACGUUCCGAAAGGGACGCUAAUACCGCAUGACAUCCGGCCUUUGAAGAGGCGGAGAUCAAAGCUGGGGAUCGCAAGACCUAGCGCUCGAUGAGGGGCCCGCGUCUGAUUAGCUAGUUGGUGGGGUAACGGCUCACCAAGGCAACGAUCAGUAUCCGGCCUGAGAGGGCGGACGGACACACUGGGACUGAGACACGGCCCAGACUCCUACGGGAGGCAGCAGUGGGGAAUUGUUCGCAAUGGGCGCAAGCCUGACGACGCAACGCCGCGUGGAGGAUGAAGAUCUUCGGGUCGUAAACUCCUUUCGAUCGAGACGAACAGCCUUCGGGUAAACAAUCCGGAGGUUUGACGGUACCGAGAGAAGAAGCCCCGGCUAACUCCGUGCCAGCAGCCGCGGUAAUACGGGGGGGGCAAGCGUUGUUCGGAAUUACUGGGCGUAAAGGGCUCGUAGGCGGCCAACUAAGUCAGACGUGAAAUCCCUCGGCUUAACCGGGGAACUGCGUCUGAUACUGGAUGGCUUGAGUUUGGGAGAGGGAUGCGGAAUUCCAGGUGUAGCGGUGAAAUGCGUAGAUAUCUGGAGGAACACCGGUGGCGAAGGCGGCAUCCUGGACCAACACUGACGCUGAGUGAGCGAAAGCCAGGGGAGCAAACGGGAUUAGAUACCCCGGUAGUCCUGGCCCUAAACGAUGAAUGCUUGGUGUGGCGGGUAUCGAUCCCUGCCGUG